AGAGUUUGAUCAUGGCUCAGAUUGAACGCUGGCGGCAUGCCUUACACAUGCAAGUCGAACGCGAAAGGGGGCAACCCCGAGUAGAGUGGCGAACGGGUGAGCAAUACAUCGGAACAUUUCCUGUAGCGGGGGACAACCUCGAGAAAUCGAGGCUAAUACCGCAUACGAUCUACGGAUGAAAGUGGGGGACCGCAAGGCCCCACACUAUAGGAGUGGCCGAUGCCGGAUUAGCUAGUUGGUGGGGUAACGGCCUACCAAGGCGACGAUCCGUAGCUGGUUUGAGAGAACGACCAGCCACACUGGGACUGAGACACGGCCCAGACUCCUACGGGAGGCAGCAGUGGGGAAUUUUGGACAAUGGGCGAAAGCCUGAUCCAGCCAUGCCGCGUGAGUGAAGAAGGCCUUCGGGUUGUAAAGCUCUUUCGGCCGGGACGAAAUGGCGCGGGGUAACAUCCCGCGUCGAUGACGGUACCGGAAGAAGAAGGACCGGCUAACUACGUGCCAGCAGCCGCGGUAAUACGUAGGGUCCAAGCGUUAAUCGGAAUUACUGGGCGUAAAGCGUGAGUAGGCGGUUUCGCAAGUCCGAUGUGAAAUCCCCGGGCUUAACCUGGGAACUGCGUUGGAAACUACGAAGCUAGAGUGCGGCAGAGGGGGGUGGGAUUCCAGGUGUAGCAGUGAAAUGCGUAGAGAUCUGGAGGAACACCGAUGGCGAAGGCAGCCCCCUGGGUUAGCACUGACGCUCAUACACGAAAGCGUGGGGAGCAAACAGGAUUAGAUACCCCCGUAGUCC
rnacentral:rRNA from 1 species